rnacentral:snRNA from 1 species
GACGUUACCUGGCAGGGGAGAUACCAUGAUCAUGAAGGUGGUUUUCCCAGGGCGAGGCUUAUCCAUUGCACUCNGGAUGUGCUGACCCCNGCGAUUUCUCCAAAUGCNGGAAACUCAACUGAUAAACUUAAU